rnacentral:lncRNA from 1 species
GCAGUCGCUUAGCGAAGGCUGUCCCGCGGCGGGCGCAGGCGCGGGUGGCGGGGUGUGCUUGGGCGGGAAGUGGGUGGUGAGGGCCGCUCUGGGCUCAGCGUUCCCCACCUGGAAUGCGUCCUGGCUUCGGCUGGCCCGGCCCAACCCUCAGCGGCCGCGGUGCCCAGGCCCACUCCUUCCGCGCCUGGAAACGUGAGACGGGUCACUGAGGACGACGUAGGCAAACUUUGCAGAGCACGUUGCCACCUGUUGGAGUAGCCGCUCCAGCCCCAGUCGAAAUGCACGGCCGAACAAUGGCAGUUCUGAGUGGCUCAGGGGCCCACACUUUCUUUAAAACCGAUGCACUCGUAGUAAUAUUUCUUAUGCCCCACAUCCAGAGGCCUGUGCUCACCACCUCAGCAGUGCCCGGGGAGGUUCGCCAGGCGUGGGCAGGCUCUCCCUUGAAAGCACCUGACCUGGUUCUACCUUGCACUGGGGCUGAAUGGGAAUUACAUGGGAAUCUCUUAUUGUAAUGCAUGAACAGACAGUGCUCUUCAGUCUCAGCCGCCUUCGUCUCUUUUCUGUGGAUGACUCUCCAGGGAGACAGAUCUCACAGCUGAGCUCGCGACUCUUGUCCUAACACAGCCUUCCUAUGUCCUCAUCUUCCAGCCACCAUAUGCUCUUCUCCAUCGUUACCUCCUCCUCACCAAUAAACAUUUUUUUUAGAACUCAAAAA